rnacentral:lncRNA from 1 species
CUAACUGUGCUGUGAAAUGCAAUGCCUACGUUCAAGAGAGAGAACAUUGAUGCAAGCAUUUCAGCAAAUUGGUUCUCAGCUUCUUCCGUUCUCAUUGAAAGGAUAUAGAGAUCCAAGUAAAGCAUAACUGAUGCAUAAUGGAGUAGCUCACAAUUUGAUUAGAUUUCCGCCAGAUUGUGAUAACAAAGAAUCUACUUUUGUAAUCGAGACAGAGAAAUAAAAGCAAGAGUAGAUAUGAGAGAGCUAGGACACUUAUUGUAGAGUCUAUCAAAUGCUAGAUGUAUAACAAAUCGACAUGAGCUGUCACGGUUAUCAUCCAUUAAUGUUGCUGAUACCUUUUUCCACGUUCCUUGUUCCAUAGCCUGAAUGAGCUCGUAGAAGGAAGAGAUAUACGUAUAGACACGAAUAUACUAGACACACAUGUGACCACCAUCGCAACUACAACCACCAGUAGUCGAGCUACCCGUGUCAGCAUGCAGGCGUGGUUUGGUGCCAAGACAGCAGCACACCAGACCAAUCAUAAGCAUUAACCCACAUGCAGAGGCUAAAGCUUGUGCCCAACUACUCCAGUAAUCAUUUCCCAUUAAGAAUAAUGGUAAAAAGUCCUUGUAGAAUGAAACAUAUAUCUUGGUAUAAUUAUAAACUGUUUAGAGAGAGAUGAUCGGAAGCUAUUAAAGUUUAAAGGGAAAUACUGGUGCAGAUGGGCAUCGG